GGUUAAGCGACUAAGCGUACACGGUGGAUGCCCUGGCAGUCAGAGGCGAUGAAGGACGUGCUAAUCUGCGAAAAGCGUCGGUAAGGUGAUAUGAACCGUUAUAACCGGCGAUGUCCGAAUGGGGAAACCCAGUGCAAUUCGUUGCACUAUCGUUAACUGAAUACAUAGGUUAACGAGGCGAACCGGGGGAACUGAAACAUCUAAGUACCCCGAGGAAAAGAAAUCAACCGAGAUUCCCCCAGUAGCGGCGAGCGAACGGGGAGCAGCCCAGAGUCUGAAUCAGCUUGUGUGUUAGUGGAACGGUCUGGAAAGUCCGACGGUACAGGGUGAUAGUCCCGUACACCAAAAUGCACAGGUUGUGAACUCGAAGAGUAGGGCGGGACACGUGGUAUCCUGUCUGAAUAUGGGGGGACCAUCCUCCAAGGCUAAAUACUCCUGACUGACCGAUAGUGAACCAGUACCGUGAGGGAAAGGCGAAAAGAACCCCGGCGAGGGGAGUGAAAAAGAACCUGAAACCGUGUACGUACAAGCAGUGGGAGCACCUUCGGGUGUGACUGCGUACCUUUUGUAUAAUGGGUCAGCGACUUAUAUUCUGUAGCAAGGUUAACCGUAUAGGGGAGCCGCAGGGAAACCGAGUCUUAACUGGGCGUUAAGUUGCAGGGUAUAGACCCGAAACCCGGUGAUCUAGCCAUGGGCAGGUUGAAGGUUGGGUAACACUAACUGGAGGACCGAACCGACUAAUGUUGAAAAAUUAGCGGAUGACUUGUGGCUGGGGGUGAAAGGCCAAUCAAACCGGGAGAUAGCUGGUUCUCCCCGAAAGCUAUUUAGGUAGCGCCUCGUGAAUUCAUCUUCGGGGGUAGAGCACUGUUUCGGCUAGGGGGUCAUCCCGACUUACCAACCCGAUGCAAACUACGAAUACCGAAGAAUGUUAUCACGGGAGACACACGGCGGGUGCUAACGUCCGUCGUGAAGAGGGAAACAACCCAGACCGCCAGCUAAGGUCCCAAAGUCAUGGUUAAGUGGGAAACGAUGUGGGAAGGCACAGACAGCCAGGAUGUUGGCUUAGAAGCAGCCAUCAUUUAAAGAAAGCGUAAUAGCUCACUGGUCGAGUCGGCCUGCGCGGAAGAUGUAACGGGGCUAAACCAUGCACCGAAGCUGCGGCAGCGACACUAUGUGUUGUUGGGUAGGGGAGCGUUCUGUAAGCCUGCGAAGGUGUGCUGUGAGGCAUGCUGGAGGUAUCAGAAGUGCGAAUGCUGACAUAAGUAACGAUAAAGCGGGUGAAAAGCCCGCUCGCCGGAAGACCAAGGGUUCCUGUCCAACGUUAAUCGGGGCAGGGUGAGUCGACCCCUAAGGCGAGGCCGAAAGGCGUAGUCGAUGGGAAACAGGUUAAUAUUCCUGUACUUGGUGUUACUGCGAAGGGGGGACGGAGAAGGCUAUGUUAGCCGGGCGACGGUUGUCCCGGUUUAAGCAUGUAGGCUGAUUGUCCAGGCAAAUCCGGAUAAUCAAGGCUGAGGUGUGAUGACGAGGCACUACGGUGCUGAAGUAACAAAUGCCCUGCUUCCAGGAAAAGCCUCUAAGCAUCAGGUAACAUUAAAUCGUACCCCAAACCGACACAGGUGGUCAGGUAGAGAAUACCAAGGCGCUUGAGAGAACUCGGGUGAAGGAACUAGGCAAAAUGGUGCCGUAACUUCGGGAGAAGGCACGCUGGUGUGUAGGUGAAGUCCCUGCGGAUGGAGCUGAGACCAGUCGAAGAUACCAGCUGGCUGCAACUGUUUAUUAAAAACACAGCACUGUGCAAACACGAAAGUGGACGUAUACGGUGUGACGCCUGCCCGGUGCCGGAAGGUUAAUUGAUGGGGUUAUCCGUAAGGAGAAGCUCUUGAUCGAAGCCCCGGUAAACGGCGGCCGUAACUAUAACGGUCCUAAGGUAGCGAAAUUCCUUGUCGGGUAAGUUCCGACCUGCACGAAUGGCGUAAUGAUGGCCAGGCUGUCUCCACCCGAGACUCAGUGAAAUUGAACUCGCUGUGAAGAUGCAGUGUACCCGCGGCAAGACGGAAAGACCCCGUGAACCUUUACUAUAGCUUGACACUGAACAUUGAGCCUUGAUGUGUAGGAUAGGUGGGAGGCUUUGAAGCGUGGACGCCAGUCUGCGUGGAGCCAACCUUGAAAUACCACCCUUUAAUGUUUGAUGUUCUAACGUUGGCCCCUGACCGGGGUUGCGGACAGUGUCUGGUGGGUAGUUUGACUGGGGCGGUCUCCUCCCAAAGCGUAACGGAGGAGCACGAAGGUUAGCUAAUCCUGGUCGGACAUCAGGAGGUUAGUGCAAUGGCAUAAGCUAGCUUGACUGCGAGCGUGACGGCGCGAGCAGGUGCGAAAGCAGGUCAUAGUGAUCCGGUGGUUCUGAAUGGAAGGGCCAUCGCUCAACGGAUAAAAGGUACUCCGGGGAUAACAGGCUGAUACCGCCCAAGAGUUCAUAUCGACGGCGGUGUUUGGCACCUCGAUGUCGGCUCAUCACAUCCUGGGGCUGAAGUAGGUCCCAAGGGUAUGGCUGUUCGCCAUUUAAAGUGGUACGCGAGCUGGGUUUAGAACGUCGUGAGACAGUUCGGUCCCUAUCUGCCGUGGGCGCUGGAGAAUUGAGGGGGGCUGCUCCUAGUACGAGAGGACCGGAGUGGACGCAUCACUGGUGUUCGGGUUGUCAUGCCAAUGGCACUGCCCGGUAGCUAAAUGCGGAAGAGAUAAGUGCUGAAAGCAUCUAAGCACGAAACUUGCCCCGAGAUGAGUUCUCCCUGAGACUUUAAGUCUCCUGAAGGAACGUUGAAGACGACGACGUUGAUAGGCCGGGUGUGUAAGCGCAGCGAUGCGUUGAGCUAACCGGUACUAAUGAACCGUGAGGCUUAACCUU
rnacentral:rRNA from 1 species